GUAAAAUAGUAGGCACAUAGUUGAAUGAAGGCUCAGGCAGAGAGGAUCACUUUUCAAAGAUUGUAAAAGAAGUUACGUGGAUAGUGUGUGUUAUGCAGCAAGGAAAGGAAUGGAAAAUCAGAAGACGUGUUUAGAUCACACAAACCAGAGGUGAAAGCUGAAUCUGAGAGGCUUCUGUUUCCAGCAAUAAGGCCAAUAAUACCCCAAGCUCCUGACUGAAACCAAACACUCUGGAGGGACACUCUCACAUGCAGGCCAGAAGGAAUUUGAAUAGAGGGAAACAGGCUAAAGAAGAGAGCUCAUGGCAAAAAUUACAAACCAUGCAAGGAAGGCAUUCACCACAGUGAGAGUGAGUAAAAACAGCAGAAUUACAACCUAAAACUUGAGAUAAUAUGACGACAGUCUGAAGCAGACUAUAACAGAAGUAUGCUUAAAAUAAGUAAGACGUGAAAGAAUUGAAACCCUAAAAAGGAAUAAGAAAAUAUGAAAAAAAAGAGAAACAUGCAGGCACAUUGGAAAAAGGAGAAUAGGAAAAAAAAUAGCAGAUAAAAAGUUUUAAAUUGACAAAGAACAGAUUAAGCAGCUAAAUAAUUGAUGAACUGAAAGCUCUACCUGGGGAUAUUAGACAGCAUAUUGCACUGGGAAAUUGUGACAUGGAGAAAGGGAAAUUGAUUAAGAUUUAAGAAACAUGGAAGGUAGAAUUAGAAGGUCCCUGCACCCCUAAUAGGCAGUACAAAAGAACAGAACAGAAAAAAUGGGAGAGAUAUAGUCUUGAAAAUUCUUGUAAUAAUUUUCCAGAAGUGGCAAAAUGUAUAAAUUCAUCAAAUCAAGAACCACAUCAUUUUCAAGAAGGAUAAAUAAAAAUAAAUCUACACCUAAAUACAUCACAGUGAAGCUGUGGAGCUUAAAAUCUUAAAAGCAAACACAGAAGUUACUUAACUAAGAAAGCCACAACUAUUAGACAAAAACAAAAAACUUUUCAAUAGCAAAAAUAGAGAGGAGAAAGUAGCGAAAGAAUGUAUUUAAAGGGCUAAGGAAAAGUAACUGUCAACCUAGUUUAUACUCAGCUAAAUUGUUAUUUAAGAACCUGUUUGAAACAAUGACUAAAAACGUUUUUACUCAAAGACCCUUGCUAAAGAGAACUAGUAAAUGAUGUGCUCCAUAAAAAAGGUAAUAAAAUUCAUGAAGGAGUGGGAUAAAGGAAGCAGUGAUGAGCAACCACAUUUAUAAACAUUGGUAUCUAUCUAAGCAUUGCAAUGACAAUAGACAGAUUUGAAAAUAUAAAAACAGGAUGGAAUGAAAACACUAGAAAAGAAUAGAAAGUUAAAAAAAUCAAGUUUGGAGUUAAAGCAUUUUAAAAUCCUUUUAAUUGUGAGAAAAAAGGUAAAAUAUUGAUUUAGUUUAGGCAUUGUUAUAUUGACAAUUCACGUUAAAAGUUUAAAACACUACUAAAGGAAGAGAAAUAGAAUAUAUAACUUUUAAACCACAGACAGCUGAUGGAUUAAAAAACUGUCAAUUAAAUAGAAUCCUAAGAAGAAGGAAAAAAGUAUGCUAAAUAGAAAGAAUAAGAUGGUAGAAAUCAAUCCAAAUAUAUUCAUAAUCAUAAUAAAUGUAAAUGAACUAAACUCACGAAUUAAAAGAACAUAUUCAAACGAAUUUUUAAAAUAUCAGCUCUGCUGCUUAUAAAAAUACACUCAAAAUACAACACAGAAAAAAAGUGAGAGAAAAAUUAUUCCAAGAAAACAAUAACCAAAAGAAAGCUGGUAUAGCUACAAUUCAUCUGACAAAAUGUCUUUAAGUAAAAUUUAAAAUAUAUUUAUUAGGAAAAAAAGCACACAAGAUACACAAAUUCUAAACUUAAAAACAAUAAACCUAAAUAGCUGGGCAUGUUGGCCCACACCUGUAAUCCCAGCUACUCAGGGGGCCAAGCGAGGCAUGAGAAUCACUUGAACCUUAGAGGCGGGGGUUGGAGUGAGCCAAGAUCACGCCACUGUACUCCAGCCUGGGCAACAGGGUAACACUCUGCCUCAAGAUAUUAAUAAUAAUAAUAAUAAACCUAAAAUAAUAAAAAAUUGAUUAAAUUACAAUGAAAUAUUGACAAAUCCUCGAUUAUAUUGUAAGUCUUUAAUAUAAUUAUUUCCAUAAUUAAUGAAUAAAGCAAACAAAAAUAGUAAAUGUUUGAAAUAUAUUUCAGAAAAAUUAAUGAGUUUGAUCUAAUUUACUUAUAGAAGAAUCCCAUACCCAAGAGUUAAAGAAUACACAUUCUUUUUAAACACACGCACAUCAUUUACAAAAAUUCACCAUAUAAUGGUUCCAAAACAAGCCUUGACAAACACCAGUGGAUUUAGAGACUACAUCAUGCAGAUGAUAUUCUCAAAUCACAAUGCAAAAAGAUGAAAAGUAAAUGUCAAAAAGUACUAAUCCUUCUGUUUAGAAAUCUAAAAACAUACUUCAAAAUAAUUUAUGGAUCAAUGAAGAGACUGUUAUAUCAAAACUUGAGUUUAAGCUAACCAAUCUUUAAAUGCAUUGAUGACAAAUAUUAGGAAAAACGCAGAUUGAGAAUUAAGAACCUAUGGAAAUAGAAAAUUUUUUAAAAAUGCGAGUUUAUACUGAUUUAUAAAAAAGAAAAUAAACUCUCUGUCUAAUAUUAAAGUUAGGAGAAAAAGAACACUUAUAAGUUAGCAUGCAAUGUAGGAAAGAUGAGCUUCUAGUGUUUUGUAAAUUUGAAGCCUUGAUUUAUCCCUAAUGGACAACUAGGGGCACUUGACCCACCCCCUACACUGCUUAGUGGUUACCCACGAAAGUCAAGCUGCUUUGGAAUUCCGAUUCUAUCACUUACGAGACAUGCGGCGGUGAGCACAUUGUUUGACUUUCCUGGGCCUUUAAGUUUUCCAAUCUGUAACAUGGGAAUCAUAAAACACAGGGAGCUCUCAUCAUCCAAGUAUUUAUUGGCCAAGCUUUUAUAGGAAAAUAAAAAUAAUAAAAUGUGUCAUAAUUUGAAAA